AGAGUUUGAUCAUGGCUCAGAUUGAACGCUGGCGGCAGGCCUAACACAUGCAAGUCGAGCGGCAGCGGGAAAGUAGCUUGCUACUUUUGCCGGCGAGCGGCGGACGGGUGAGUAAUGCCUGGGAAAUUGCCCAGUCGAGGGGGAUAACAGUUGGAAACGACUGCUAAUACCGCAUACGCCCUACGGGGGAAAGCAGGGGACCUUCGGGCCUUGCGCGAUUGGAUAUGCCCAGGUGGGAUUAGCUAGUUGGUGAGGUAAUGGCUCACCAAGGCGACGAUCCCUAGCUGGUCUGAGAGGAUGAUCAGCCACACUGGAACUGAGACACGGUCCAGUACUCCUACGGGAGGCAGCUAGUGGGGAAUAUUGCACAAUGGGGGAAACCUUGAUGCAUCCAUGCCGCGUGUGUGAAGAAGGCCUUCGGGUUGUAAAGCACUUUCAUCGAGGAGGAAAGGUCAUUAGCUAAUAUCUGCUGGCUGUGACGUUACUC
rnacentral:rRNA from 1 species